rnacentral:tRNA from 3 species
UGGAUUGUAGCUAAAUUUAAGCGCUUCACUUACGCUGAAGAGAUCGUCUUGUGGCGCUAUCUAA